rnacentral:ncRNA from 1 species
AAAAAGGCAAAGAAAAGAAGAGUAAGCGGAGAGAUACGUCACAGAGAACCCGGACUGGUGGAAACGGGUACGGAAGACUUCGCUGAACAUGGUCUUGGAGCCGCGCACCGACCGCUUUUUAGCGUUAGGCUGCGACGGGCGCGCCCGUAACAGCGCAGGGGUAUCGGACUCGUCCCGUACCCGUCAAGGCUCUGCCCGCGAGGGCGGGGUGAAGCAAGGUGGUACCACGAAGCGUAAGCUCUCGUCCUUGAA